rnacentral:misc_RNA from 1 species
UAGUGUCCUCAUAUGGCCGCGCACCCCCCUCAACCCCCGCCCUUUAACGCUUCCUCUCCCUCCCUCUUUUCUUUCCUUGCGGCCUUGCCUGGUAUUGCAUCGCAGGAAGUCCUUUUCGUAAAGAGCACUGCGAGUCCCACGCCGUUGUUGCUCAUGUGCACGUCGCGAACGACACGAUCUUGAGUUCGUUACGUGUCUUUCCCGCCGCUCACUCUUUCCAGCUCUGCCGCUUCGCCACACGUCCAACACGCAGGAUGGGUGUCACUUGUACACGCGAAAAGGGCGUUGUUUCCUCAUCAGCGGUGAUACGUUUCGGCCUCACCCGCCGGUGCAGCCACGUGGAAAGGACGGAGCGCCCUAAAAGCUUCACAAGGGAAACCUCUUGUCGUCACAGGUCAGCCACGCGUGCCAGAGCUGAUGUGUGUGUUGGGUGCGACAACUCUUCUGAGGCUCUGCGUGCAGUGGAUACGGUUACAGUGCCUGCCCCAGAGCCGAUAGAAGCCCCGCUUCUGCCGUCUUGUGCGGAGAGGCUGUCCUCAAACCGAAACCGCUGCCACGGCAGCACUGCAGAAACCACUGCAACACCCAGUUUUCUCGUCGCAGAGACACCGACGGCCACGAGGUAUUCCAUGUACCACAUCCCUGGCGGCGAGGACGACAACAGCUACACUCUGGUGCCCUUCAAGUCCAUGUACUGCCUACCGCGGACAACGGAAUUAGAGCCUGACAACUUCCGCGCGAUGGUGACUCACUCCCACGCCGCAGCGGCAGAGGCGCCGAACACGGAAGCGACUGCAUACAAUCCGAAGGGCGACGACGGUAGGGAGAAAAAAGACGCCGCAUCACCGAAGACGGUGUCGCGCAAGGCGUUCGGGACAGCAUCCAGGACCUUUUCCAGGCAGUCGCUCAGGGCCCUGCGGCGCGGCUUUUCCUUUGGCAUCGUGUCGGACUGCGCUGAUGACUUAGUGUUGAGACACGCGGACGAAAUGUCGUGCAUGUCGAGCGUCGAAUACGGGCUCGUGCGGCAGCAGGAGAGCCACACCGACUCGGCGUCGUGUUGGGAGGUCUCUUCGAUAUUUCCGCGGGCGACAAUCAGCACAGAAGCAGAUGAGAGUUCCAGCACUGUGCUCACCAGCCAGAGCACGCUGUCGCGGCGGCAUACCUUUGGUGUCAUGAUGCCAACAGGCCAUAGCCAAGUAGUGGAACACACGGAGGACGGCGGCGCCUGGGAGCCGGCGCUCGUCUCCCCUAGUGUGCGCCUUGAUGCGCGUCGCUCAUGGCAGAAGCAGAAGAGCUCCAUGACCGUCACGAAUCUCACGGAGGAGGUGGUGGUGCAAGGAGGCGCCUUUCCUCUGCAGGACCGCCAUCACCACCGUCAUCACGUCGGCAGGCACUGUCACUUGGUGAGGGCGGCCGCCGCGGUGCCGCCACGCGCCUCAUCACACGCCCGAUCGAAAGUCGGCAGGCAGUGGCCGCAACCCAUCAUGGAGGGACCCAAAAGCAACCUUUCCCGCAGUCGCCCUUUCAACGUGGAGGCAACGCUGGGCUACUCGGUGCGAAGUGCCCGUUUUGUGCCAUCCCCCGACUGGGAGCGCGUCUGCGUGAAUGAGGAAGAGAAGCUGCGACUGGCGCAGGUCCUCGCGGCUCAUCAGCAGCGGCUAAAGAAGUGGAAGCGCGCGCAGGCGGCGCGCUGGAACGCCCUCAGCUUGUGAACAAAGACAGGCGGCCCAAGUGCACUGAGAGGUCUUUCCUCUUCAUUCGUACGAGGGCUAGCUGCCAGAAAAAAGAAAAACAGAAAGCGCGGCACUCCCUUUUCACGAAUGGGCGCAAGGGCUGUCCGGGAUCGUGCAGACUUACUGCAUGAAGCAGGCCUUUCCCGUGUACGCUAUUCCUCGCUUACGUUGUAUGUACCUGUGGAGCUUGUUUUUCUUCUGCCCAUGGGGCGACUGCAUCCUCUGACGCAUUCGCGUGCCGUUUUAUCAACGGUUCUCCUCAUGGCAGCCCUUCUGUCUCUCUCCCUCUGUCUACGCCGUGCCUUUUCGUGUGCCCUCCCCCCUGCCACGCGUCUUUCGUGUCCUCCCUGCUCCUCCUGUGCAUUGUGCUCACAAGAAUAAGAGAAUGCGCGGGCCUCCUCUCCUGCCCGCACUCGUUCUCUGUGGUGCAUCUCUUUGUUUGUCUCUCUCUUUACUUCGCUAUCGACUACUCCCCAGCCCCGCCUGAUCCCUUCUUUCCGAUCUGCCUCUUCCUUUCUAUGCAUUUUUUUGUUGUCGUUGCUUCUUACUUCUGCGAUGCUGAAG